CUUGUACACACCGCCCGUCACACCACGGGAGUUGGAGACGCCCGAAGCCGAUUAUCUAACCUUUUGGAAGAAGUCGUCGAAGGUGGAAUCAAUAACUGGGGUGAAGUCGUAACAAGGUAGCCGUAUCGGAAGGUGCGGCUGGAUCACCUCCUUUCUAAGGAGA
rnacentral:rRNA from 1 species